CAACCCUCAAGCUCUGCUUGGUAUUGGGUGCCGUCCUUAGUUGGGCGCGCCUCAAAGACCUCGGCGGUGGCGUCUUGCCUCAAGCGUAGUAGAACAUACAUCUCGCUUCGGAGCGCAGGGCGUCGCCCGCCGGACGAACCUUCUGAACUUUUCUCAA
rnacentral:misc_RNA from 1 species